AGAACUGUUAACAUAAGGAAAAACGUACCAACAAAGCAAGCUCUGCAUUCAUGGAAUGUAUCUUGUAUGACACUUUAUACUUUUUAGAGGUAGUGAAUAAAGCAUAGAGUUGGAGAAACAGAAGACCUGGUUUUGAUAUGAAACAACAUUAUUUUCAAUUUGACUAAAUAGCGUGGUCACACGGCACAGGUUCAGGCUUCAGUGAAUCUGUAAGGUGGUGGAUACUUAUAUGAUGUUGAUUAUGAGAAGUUUCCUUUAAGCAUGUUUCCCAAGAAGCAAGCUCACAAUUUUCCAGGUUAGUUCUCUGCCCAGAUAGCAAAGGGACACGUCAGCAUUUCUUUUUUGUUUUUAAUGCAAAUUUAUAGGAAUUAGUGUCAAAGUCAUAAACCUUAAGUGAGCCAUAGAUUCUGUAGGUUUGUAGUAAAAGUGUUUCUGGGUUUCACCAGGUGGGAAGUGAGCAAAGCAUUUGUAGCUUCUUAAAAUCUGUUCUAGGUUUCACAGUGACUUCACAUCUUCAAAUUCAGUUUUGAAAUGAGUGCCAUAUUUUGUCUACUUCAUACAGUACAUCUUUGCAACAAGCUUCCUUCUGCACACACUUUCUGGUUGCAGUGUCAGCCUACUCCAGUUUGUCAUGAUUGCAGCUGCCCAUGGAGAAAACACCUUUACAGGCUAAAAAAAAAUUAGAUGUAGACCUGUGGGAAUACAAGAAAGACUGUCAGACUAUUCAGUUCAGAAGAUGUGGACUAAGAUAGCAUGAGAACGCAACACUGAGAACCAAGGACAUCUCCAGAAGAAGAGAAAAGCAAAGUCAAGUAAGCUGGGUGAUGGCUGAAUAAUGAUGACCCCGACUGAAGGAAAGGAGCAUGGCUAGGAACAACUCAUGACCCUGACUGGAUAAGCACUUGCAUGCAUGGUUAAAGAGUGUUUGUGGGAUGUUUUGUUGACACGUGAAGAUGGGUGGAAAAGCUAAAUGAGAAACCUUGUGAAUGUGUAUAGAAACCAUAACAAACAAUUUGGAUCGUUCACAUCUGAGUCUUUGCCUCAGAUUCUGCAUAGACCUAUGUAGAAUUUUGUAGAUUUUGCAUGUUUUGGGAGCUAUGGAGAAAAACAAAGCACUAAAAUUCCUUUGUUUGAUUUCUUGUGUUUUUUUUUUUUAUAUAUAUUUUUAAACUACAGUAGUACAGAAAUACAGAAUGACUUUUCUUGUGCAUUAUUGUCCUUUGGAUUGAUACAGAAUAGCUUCUCUAAUGAGAUUUCAAUUUGGAGAUGAACAUUAAGAACAACUAGUGAAUACAUUCUUUUCCAGGCCUCUCUCAUAUAAGCUCUUAGAAAGUUUCCUGGAAAGUCUUAUGUCUUGCAGUGCUAACCUCAGUAUUUUAGCAAGGCUAAUGUAAUAAUUGUAUUUGUUUGUUUGCUUUUUAUCAUGAGCAAGAAAAUACCUGAAGAGAAGUCUUAAGUUUUAACCCAUCAUAACAUAGAGGCAAUAAUAUUUGCUAUGUAUUUCUCAGACUACUGUCUUUGAGAACUGUAACGGAUAAUAAACAUCAAAAUCAUAGAAUCA
ensembl:lncRNA